rnacentral:rRNA from 1 species
CGGCCUGAGAGGGUGAACGGACACACUGGAACUGAGACACGGUCCAGACUCCUACGGGAGGCAGCAGUAGGGAAUAUUGCUCAAUGGGGGAAACCCUGAAGCAGCAACGCCGCGUGGAGGAUGAAGGUUUUAGGAUUGUAAACUCCUUUUGUUAGAGAAGAUAAUGACGGUAUCUAACGAAUAAGCACCGGCUAACUCCGUGCCAGCAGCCGCGGUAAUACGGAGGGUGCAAGCGUUACUCGGAAUCACUGGGCGUAAAGAGCGCGUAGGCGGGAUAGUCAGUCAGGUGUGAAAUCCUAUGGCUUAACCAUAGAACUGCAUUUGAAACUACUAUUCUAGAGUGUGGGAGA